rnacentral:rRNA from 1 species
GGAUUAGAUACCCUGGUAGUCCACGCUGUAAACGAUGUCUACUUGGAGGUUGGUGUCUUGAAUACUGGCUUUCGAAGCUAACGCGUUAAGUAGACCGCCUGGGGAGUACGGUCGCAAGAUUAAAACUCAAAUGAAUUGACGGGGGCCCGCACAAGCGGUGGAGCAUGUGGUUUAAUUCGAUGCAACGCGAAGAACCUUACCUACUCUUGACAUCCAGAGAAGCCGGAAGAGAUUCUGGUGUGCCUUAGGGAACUCUGAGACAGGUGCUGCAUGGCUGUCGUCAGCUCGUGCCG